rnacentral:rRNA from 1 species
CAGCAGCCGCGGUAAUACAGAGGGUGCGAGCGUUAAUCGGAUUUACUGGGCGUAAAGCGUGCGUAGGCGGCUUUUUAAGUCGGAUGUGAAAUCCCUGAGCUUAACUUAGGAAUUGCAUUCGAUACUGGGAAGCUAGAGUAUGGGAGAGGAUGGUAGAAUUCCAGGUGUAGCGGUGAAAUGCGUAGAGAUCUGGAGGAAUACCGAUGGCGAAGGCAGCCAUCUGGCCUAAUACUGACGCUGAGGUACGAAAGCAUGGGGAGCAAACAGGAUUAGAUACCCGGGUAGUCCCUGUCUCUUAUAC